UACGUAGGGUGCAAGCGUUGUCCGGAAUCAUUGGGCGUGAAAGCGCACGUAGGCGGUUCGUUAUGUCGGAUGUGAAAGCCCUUGGCUUAACCGAGGAAGUGCAUCCGAAACUGGCGAGCUAGAGUACGAAAGAGGAUCGCGGAAUUCCCGGUGUAGAGGUGAAAAUUCGUAGAUAUUGGGAAGAACACCGGUGGCGAAGGCGGCUCUCUGGACCGUAACUGA
rnacentral:rRNA from 1 species